UGGGGAAUAUUGGACAAUGGACCAAGAGUCUGAUCCAGCAAUUCUGUGUGCACGAUGACGUUUUUCGGAAUGUAAAGUGCUUUCAGUUGGGAAGAAAAAAAUGACGGUACCAACAGAAGAAGUGACGGCUAAAUACGUGCCAGCAGCCGCGGUAAUACGUAUGUCACGAGCGUUAUCCGGAUUUAUUGGGCGUAAAGCGCGUCUAGGUGGUUAUGUAAGUCUGAUGUGAAAAUGCAGGGCUCAACUCUGUAUUGCGUUGGAAACUGUGUAACUAGAGUACUGGAGAGGUAAGCGGAACUACAAGUGUAGAGGUGAAAUUCGUAGAUAUUUGUAGGAAUGCCGAUGGGGAAGCCAGCUUACUGGACAGAUACUGACGCUGAAGCGCGAAAGCGUGGGUAGCAAACAGGAUUAGAUACCCUGGUAGUCCACGCCGUAAACGAUGAUUACUAGGUGUUGGGGGUCGAACCUCGGCGCCCAAGCAAACGCGAUAAGUAAUCCGCCUGGGGAGUACGUACGCAAGUAUG
rnacentral:rRNA from 1 species